CGCGUGCACUGGCUCGGCUGGGUCUUUCCUUCUGGAGAACCGCAGGCCCUUCACUGCUCGUGCCGGGGAACCAGGACUUUUACUCUGAACAAAUUAGAUCGAUUAUAGAAGGCCUAUGCUCGAAUACUUUAGCAUGGAAUAAUAAAAUAAGACGUGUGGUUCUAUCUUUGUUGGUUUCUAGGACCGCCGUAAUGAUAAAUAGGGACAGUCGGGGGCAUCAUUAUUCAAUUGUCAGAGGUGAAAUUCUUGGAUUUAUUGAAGACUAGCUACUGCGAAAGCAUUUGCCAAGGAUGUUUUCAUUAAUCAGGAACGAAAGUUAGGGGAUCGAAAACGAUCACAUACCGUCGUAGUGUUAACCAUAAACUAUGCCGAUGAGGGAUCGGACGGCGUUAUUUUUUGACCCGUUCGGCCCCUUACGAUAAAUCAAAAUGUUUGGGCUCCUGGGGGAGUGUGGUCGCAAGGCUGAAACUUAAAGAAAUUGACGGAAGGGCACCACCAGGGGUGGAGCCUGCGGCUUAAUUUGACUCAACACGGGGAAACUCACCAGGUCCAGACACGAUGAGGAUUGACAGAUUGAGAGCUCUUUCUUGAUUUCGUGGGUGGUGGUGCAUGGCCGUUUUUAGUUGGUGGAGUGAUUUGUCUGCUUAAUUGGGAUAACGAACGAGACCUUAACUUGCUAAAUAUCCCGUAUAUCUUUGGCAGUACGCCGGCUUCUUAGAGGGACAUCGG
rnacentral:rRNA from 1 species